GAUGAAGAACGUAGCGAAAUGCGAUAAGUAAUGCGAAUUGCAGAAUUCAGUGAGUCAUCGAAUCUUUGAACGCACAUUGCGCCCUGUGGUAUUCCGCAGGGCAUGCCUGUUCGAGCGUCAUUUCAACCCUCAAGCUCUGCUUGGUGUUGGGCCCUGCCCGCUGCGGCCGGCCCUAAAGACAGUGGCGGUGCCGCCUGGCCCUGAGCGUAGUACAUCUCUCGCUCCAGUGCCCGGUGGUAGCCUGCCAGAACCCCAACUCUCGUGGUUGACCUCGGAUCAGGUAGGGAUACCCGCUGAACUUAAGCAUAUCAAUAAGCGGAGA
rnacentral:misc_RNA from 1 species